UAUUUUAUUCUUAUUAAGUUUUAUAUUUUCUUUAUUGUGAUAGAGGAAUCUUUUUGUUUAAUUAUUCAAAAAAAAAAUUUUUUUUGUGAUAGAUAAAUAGUACUGUGAAGGAAGAACAAGUAAUAGAAUAGAAUAAGUUAAAUUUUGUACCUUGUGUUUCAGGGUUUAUUAAAAGGGAUUUUUAUUUUAAGAUAUCUCGAAUCUAAAAGAGCUAUAAAGCUAUAAAUUUUAUUGUAGAAUAAGUAAUUAUAAUAGUUUUAUUGAAGUGAAAUGCUAUUCGAUUUUAGUAUAUCUAGUUUUUUAAGAAAGAAAUUUAAUUUUGUUGAUUUUUUUAAUAUAUUUAUAUUUUUAAUUAUAUUAAAGAAUUAGUAGAUAAAGAAGGGGAUAAGCUUUUCUUUAAAUUUAUAAAAUAGGAUAAUUAAGGAAAGAUUUUAAAAAUAGGAUUAGAAGUUUUUAUUUUUGAAAGUGUGUUUUUACUUUUAUAAUUAAAAGAGAAGAUUUUUAUAAAAUUUAUUUUUUUUAUUGAAAUGUAGAUUAAAAUUUUUAAAAUUUAGAAAUAAUGAUAAAAUUAGUAUAAGAGUUGUUGGUAUUAUUAAUAAUAGGUAAAGGUACAAAAAAGGAACUCGACAAAUAAAUUUUUCACCUGUUUAAUAAAAACAUGUCUUUUUGGUAAUAUUUAAAAGUCUGGCCUGCCCACUGAGGAGUUGAAUGGCCGCGGUAUAUUAACCGUGCAAAGGUAGCAUAAUCAUUAGUUUUUUUAUUGAAAGCUGGAAUGAAGGGUUGGAUGGAAAAAUAAUUGUCUCUUUUGUAUUUUGUUAGAAUUUUAUUUUUAAGUUAAAAAGCUUAAAUUUCAAUAGAGGACGAGAAGACCCUAUAGAAUUUUAUAAAUAGAUUAGUUAACUAAAUUUAGUAUUUUAAUUUUUAGGUGAUUUACUUAUUUUGUUGGGGUGACAGAGAAAUUUAUUAAACUUUUUUUAUAUUAGACUUUGAUAAGAGGGAAUUUGAUCCUUUUUAAAGAAUAGAGAAAAAAUUACCUUAGGGAUAACAGCGUAAUUUUUCUUUAGAGCCCAAAUCGAAAGAAAAGUUUGCGACCUCGAUGUUGGAUUAAAAUUAAUUUUUAGUGCAGAAGCUAAAUUAUUAAGUCUGUUCGACUUUUAAAAUUUUACAUGAUCUGAGUUUAAACCGGUGUGAGCCAGGUUGGUUUCUAUCCUUAUUAAUUAAUAAUAUUUUAGUACGAAAGGACCAAGUAUUUAUUUUAAAAUUUUUAUUUUGAAGAAAAUUAGUUAUUUUGGCAGAAUAGUGCAAUAGAUUUAGAAUCUAUA
rnacentral:rRNA from 1 species